rnacentral:rRNA from 1 species
GACGAACGCUGGCGGCGUGCUUAACACAUGCAAGUCGAACGGAAAGGCCCUGCUUUUGUGGGGUGCUCGAGUGGCGAACGGGUGAGUAACACGUGAGUAACCUGCCCUUGACUUUGGGAUAACUUCAGGAAACUGGGGCUAAUACCGGAUAGGAGCUCCUGCUGCGUGGUGGGGGUUGGAAAGUUUCGGCGGUUGGGGAUGGACUCGCGGCUUAUCAGCUUGUUGGUGGGGUAGUGGCUUACCAAGGCUUUGACGGGUAGCCGGCCUGAGAGGGUGACCGGCCACAUUGGGACUGAGAUACGGCCCAGACUCCUACGGGAGGCAGCAGUGGGGAAUAUUGCACAAUGGGCGGAAGCCUGAUGCAGCAACGCCGCGUGCGGGAGGACGGCCUUCGGGUGGUAAACCGCUUUCGCCUGUGACGAAGCGUGAGUGACGGUAAUGGGGAAAGAAGCACCGGCUAACUACGU